rnacentral:misc_RNA from 1 species
UCCGUUUUGACAACGGCAGUCUCGCUAGAGUCCCCGGCAUGACCCGCUGGCAACUAACGACAAGGCUUUCACCAGCAUGUCAAACCCAGGUAAGGUUCUUCGCGUUGCUUCGAAUUAAACCACAUGCUCCACCGCUUGUGCGGGCCCCCGUCAAUUCCUUUGAGUUUCAGCCUUGCGGCCGUACUCCCCAGGCGGGGCACUUAUCGCGUUAGCUGCGGCACCGAAAGGGUCGUUCCCCCACGACACCUAGUUCUCAUCGUUUACGGCGUGGACUAC